rnacentral:lncRNA from 1 species
GAUGGCUGGGACUGGCGCUGCGUCACCGCGUGCUCCCACUGGACGGCGACGCCGUCAAAGACGUCGGCGAUGGAGUCGUUGCUGGAGAGGCCGAAGGUGGUGACGCUGGAGUUGCGGGCGCGGGUGAGGGAGAGGCGGCUGGCGGAGGCGGAGGUGGAAGCGAAGGAGCUGAGGUAGAGCUGGACGGCGUUGUAGAGCUCGUUGGUGUUGACGCCGUCCAUCUCGGUGACGUCGAAGUAGCAGUAGGAGGAGAAGCAGCGGAGGGCCCGGUUGAGUAACUUGAGGGAAACGUGCCGGAGCUCCGGCGGGAGCACCAGCUGGAGGAAGGUCUGGCAGAAGGCCAGGGUGCCCAGGAGGGAGGCCAGGGAUGUCCAAGACUCCUUCCUUUCUGCCAUCUCUGUGCGAUCCGUGUCAAAGUUGAGAUUAUUACCGGAGAAGAAGGAAGAUUAUGAAGAGGAAAGGGGUGUGGAAGGUGUGAAAGAAUUGGGGAGUGACAGGGUUCUUCUGGUGUUUUAACGAGGACACGUGUGGCUCGACUGUUUAAUGAUUGUUUUUCCCUUUCUUCCCUUUUUAGGCGGGGCCCCGAGGAAAGAUAUGGUAUUUAUAUGCAUGUACUCUAUGUCGCGACCACUGCUGUACUGCUGUACUGCAAACGUCAAAGAUUGUUUUUCUUGUUACUCCUUCGGUCUUAAACUUUAGUUUGUUUAUGUUUUUCGGCAAUUUUAUAAUUCGACUCCCGUUUAAUUCCGAACGCCUCGACAUCGGAGUACAUAAAAUAUCGACAAAUACAGUAAUACUACCCAUCAGAACCCUUUUUUUUUUUUUGCUUUCUCGUGAAAUUCUAAAAUGUUAUUCAAAUUUCAGUAUGUUAAAAAAAAAAAAAAAUAGGACAUGAUGUUCGAUAUUUCUAAGUUUUAAAGAAGAAAAUCAACAAGGUGUACUCACCGUUUCGUGGAUUUAAUAGGUAGGAAAUGUCAAACCGAGCCACCCUAGGCUUGAGGAGAAAAGCACGUACAGUUAAUAGAAGAGAUCAGACAAAACGAGACUAAUAUAUAAAAGAUGGGAUAGACUGUAAGCAUAAAAACUCGUUCACCACCCACCUCCAGCUACCCACGGCAUGCUUUUGUCUUGUUUCUCUGGGAGAAGUGAAUGUAUAGAUAGGCGAGUAUAAUUUAUUCAAUGAAUAUAUAAAUAUCUCGAUAUGGUGUAUGACAUUGUAUUUUCACCACGUCUUUCAUACGAUUUAAAAAUAUGACAACAACGUUUAAACGCGCAAGAGAAAAUUAAUAAUUAAUUGAGAACCAAUGUUUCCCACACCAUAGUGAUGGUUCUAUUAUUAAAGAUUAUGGUACUUUUCUUUUAUUAUAAAAUGAAAGAACUGGGAGAGGGCCGAAUACUCUUAUACACGUGGUUGGAAUGAGUCAAUUCCAUUUAAGAAUCAUGGUAAUAUCACAAAAGCGCUUGAGGCGCGUUACUAUCGUGAACAGGUUUGAUCGCCUAAACUUUGGGACUAUUGACAUUAAAGAUGAAAAUUUAAUGAAAUUAGGUAUGUAUAUAUAUUAUAUAUACAUAUAUAAAAUAGCACUACGUCGCUAAAAUUGUGUAAUUCAAUAGACCUACACCUAAUUUCAUUAAAUUUUCAUUCAAGACCUCCUACGCCUAAUUUCAAUAUAUAUAAAUAUAAUAAUACAUAAUAGGGGAAGAGAGAUCCUCAAUAUGCAAUACGGAGAUUCUGUUAUCAUUAAACAAAGUUCAGUCACAACAUCAUCGCCUUACCUGCAUGCUGACAAGCCUUCCCAACCCCACUUAGGGUGCGUUUGGGAGUAGCCUUGAGAAGCUACUUUGAAGCUCCAAAGAUCCUUGAGCCAAGGCAAGGGUGUUUGGCAAAAAAAUUUCAAAACCCAUUUGCAAAUGUCAGCCUUCACAAGGUUGAAAGCCAAAGGCAGGUUGGGGGCUGCCUUGGGAUUUCAGCCUUCUCGGCAUGCUGAGGAGGGGCUAAAUAAAAACUUUUCUUCUCAAAUUAUCCUCGUUGGUUUUUCGUUUUCCGGUUUUGCCCUCACUAUUCAUCAUCUUCUUUUUUCUUCUUCCGCGAGCGGUCGCUGACGAAGGGCAAGCAGUCGCUGGCAACCGUCACCCAGACGACCAUCGCCGGGGGGUGAAGCGACCGACACCAGGAGUGUUGACACAUAAUUUUUAUCUUUUUUAAAAAUAUAUAUAAAUAAAUAAAAACAAAUCAAUCAAAAUCAAAAUCAAAAAUUUUAAUUAUUAAUUUUCCUUUAAAAAAAGAGAAGAGUCUUGUAGGUCCGGGUCGGGUCGGAUCCGGCCUUGGCCCGACCCAACCCUUUUUCCCUUUAUUCCUCCCCCCCCCCCCCCCAUGAUCCCGGGGCCCAUCCCCCUCCCCUCCUAUUUUCUUUUUUCCUUUCCCUCACGCGGCCCAACCCCCUUUUUUCCCUCCCGGCCGGCCCCGCCCACCCUGUUGUCUUCUCCCUCAACCGUCUACUGGGUGGGGAAUUCACGAAAAAGAAAACGGAAAGUAACCCUUCCCGUGGGGAAAUGGGGAAACCCAAAGCAGGGGCAGAGGGCAGAGGAGACAGCAUCAUCUUGCGGGGCAGGCGAACGUUGGAAGCAGCAAGAGAGGUCAGAGCCGAUUCACACGCACGCGCAAGCCGAAUGAUCGACAAAAGGGAGAGAUCUGGAGAGAGGCCGGGGGGGGGGGGGGGGAAGACACCGAAAAGAGGAAAAAUGGAGGACGAAAGAAAAAAUCGAGAGAAAACAAGAGGCGAAACAGAGAGAGAAACAGGGGGAAAGCGAGAGAAACAGGGAGCCAAAGGAGGAGGAACUCACCGAAGCCGCCGCCGUCGACGCAUCUCCCGACAGCUACAACCGCCGCCGACGCAUCUCCGGACUGCAAUCAUCGCCGCCACCGCCGCAGACGCGUCUUCCAAGCUGCCAUUCCCGUCGAAACUCAGGUUGGCAUUUCAUCGAAUACCUAGCGUGCAUUUUGAGCUUGAGUUGGCCGGAGUUCGUUCCUUCCCUUUCGGGCGAGCUCCAACCUCCGUAGGUCCCCCUUAGGUUCAUGUCUGUUGUUGUUUGCUUGCUGGUUACCGCCGUUGCUGCCUCGGGUCCGGUUUAGGUCAAAAGCCUCCUGGUUCGCCCAUGCCAUCUACCUGUUCGCCAUAAUGCCCAAGUGGGCUCUCUCCCUCCGAAGCUCCUCCACACGGAGCCCUAGGACCUCUGACUGCCGGAGGGACGCCAUUGUAGCCAGGGAAGCCGCGCCACUCACCCUGCCUGGCCACGGCAGUGCCGUCACCGACAUGCGUCUUCUCAGCACCCCUAGUCGUGACUACCCAGUCACAACCAAGGGGAGGUCUGUCGAGUGGGCCAGAUCCCAGAUCUGGCCCACUCGACUCCUGUUUUCACUUGGGCCCAACUCUCAGGCUCAAGUUGAGUUAAGUUAGGCCCGACCAGGGACGGUCAGGCCUAACUCGGUCGAGCCGAGCCCGGUUGAGUCGAACCCAGUUAGACUCGACCCAACCCGAUCUGGUCCCAAAAAAAAAAAUCUAAAAUAAAAAAAGAAAACAAUUUCGAAAAAAUAUAUAUAAAUUUUUUUUUAAAAAAUUAAAAAAAAUUAAUUAAAAAUUAAUUAAAAAAUUUUAAGAAAUUUUGAAAAUUAAAAAAUGAUAGGGUUUGGUUAGGAAUUGCUAUGUUUUUCAUUUUUGGUGUAAUUAGGCAUUUAAUUGAUUGUGUUUUGAUUAUAUGUUGCAUGUUUAAUUUGCAUAUCUAAUUAUGUUUAAUUGCACGUAUUUAAUUUUACUACAAUUAGGAUCUUGAUAACUAUGAUUGUUAUUUCAAUGUUUGUGCACCUGCAUGAUCACUUCGUAUGUUAGUGGAUAGGUAUACAAUCAAUCCAAAUUGCUUGCCAAAAAUCAUUUGGUUAAAAUGAACGAGAUUAAGUACCGAAAGGGCAUUAAUUGAUCAAUUAAUGUAAUCAAGUCCCCGACCCUAGAUUCUCUGGUUGUGUAGGAAGUGAAGUACACUCCCAUACCUCACGUGGUUUCUAGCCGACCCCAAUAGGCUAGUGGCGACUCCUUUUGUGCAAAAUUCUAAAGAAUAUCCCAAUGUCACGCGAGGUAUGGGCUUGGGAGAGCCUGCACCUAAUCAUAGGCCUUAGACCCCUCUUGAGGCAAUACCUCUAAACCUGUUUCCUCUCCUCGAGGGUAGGUCGUGACAGCUUGGCGACUCCGCUGGGGAUUUGGUUUUAAACCUUAGAGGACUUAGGCCAAUAUUAAUCUUGUUCAUAAAUAUUUUUGUUUGACAGCGAGGAUUUCAAGUACGUCCCUAACAUUAAAGGUGUUAAAUGUUUUUGUAGAAUGUGAGGUAUAAGGGGAAGUGUUUGCUCACCUUUGUCUUGUAGGGAGGUGAAGAAAUGUAUGGUUUAUUGUUCAUGUAUAAAGUGUUGAUUGCUUAUAAAUUAUCAUGCCUGCAUCCCUUGCAUUGCACUACACCAUAGCACACACAACUUGCUGCCGGACCUAGGCCGCUUAGGAUCACUUAGGAUGGUGUUGAGGUGGAUACCACUCCGACUACAACCGUGUAGUACGAGUCGCCCACCUUAACCCCGAAAUUUCUUUCUUCAUGUCGAAGACACCCACCCCGGUCUGCAACUGCGUGACACGGGUCGGUUCUUUGACAAAGCCGGAGUCAUGGGUAACCCGACCUAGCCGCGACCUUGUUGGUUCAAUUCGGUGAUCCCAUGGCUCCAUUUUGAGCCGUCUAUAGUAGAAAUCGAACCACCACCCAUGCGCAUGUCUAUGGCAUUGCUACUUAAUGAAUAGGGUAAGUUUUUCAAAAUUCUUUUCUGCGCAAUUUAUUUAUCCAUUUUCUUUUUGGUCGGUCCAUGACAAAUUAGGUUUAUCGUAACUUUGGUUGGCAUACAAUGGGGGUACCCGAGCUUCACAUCUUUUCCGCCCCGAAGGCCGAGCUCCGCACAUGAUGGGAUGGACUGGAUCUGACUGGUCGUGAUUGGGUGCGAUCUUAUGUCGGACGUUUACUCCCCUUAUUGGAGAUGGAGACUCAUUAUGGUGUUGUUCGAGCGUUAGCACAUGUUUGGUGCCCCGCAACUUGCACGUUCAUAUUCGGUGAUCACGAGCUCACUCCAACCUUGGAGGAAUACAGUAUUGCCAUUGAAAAGCCCUUAGUGUCGGAGUUGGUUAGCCCACCUAUAGGAAUUGAGCAUGCAUCAACCUUAUCUGAGUUCCUUAAAGUUAAGGAAUAUAAUGUGAGAAAAGUUUUGAAAGCCAAUCGCAAAACCUGCCCAUUUUCAUUUCUAAAUGAGCUUUUUCAAAAUGUCCCAUCUUUCCAAAAGAAUAAGAUAUUCCUAUUAGCUUUCUUCAGGUUUGUGAUAUUCCCACAUUGUAGAAAUGCUAUUAACCCUUCCGUAGCGUGGGUAGUUCAUGAAGUAUGUAUGGGAAAGAGUUUUGUUAAUGCUAUCUUGACUGAAACUUUUCUUUCCCUUACUCGUUUUAAAGAAAAUAAAGACAAAGUUUUCCAUGCUUCUCUUGCACUCUUGCAAAUUUGGUUUUUCUCUCACAUUAAGGGGUUCGGUAGCUUGAUGACUGUGAGCGACAUUUCUGACUCUAGCCACCCUAUCCUAAAGUUUAGAGAUAAGAAAAAGUUUGCCCAUGAUUAUCAUUAUUCUGAGUGGUUAGUUUUCAUGACCAACCCUAGACCUGAGGAUUUCCAAUGGCAUGCCAAAUGGCUUCGAGUUCAAGAAGCGUGGUUCGUGUGUGGGCUUACUAGACCUAUUCCUUUGUUGGGAAUCACUAGAGUCAUCGAAUAUUACCCAACUCGAGUCACCCGUCAGUUUCAAGAAAUUCAACAGCUUCCGCCAGCGAUCAAGGAGGACCCGCUCAAAAUAAACUUCCCUGACGGAUGCCAAGACCACGAAGACUCCAUCGCGUCGGUCAAGUCGAUGUGGGAUAUGUGCCACCCCCGGAAGUUGAUAUGGCCUGAAGAAGAGUUGGAGGGGCAAGAGAAGACCUAUUAUGCCUUGAAGGAGUACAUCUUUAGACACAAGAUUCCCGAAGUGCCAUUGAAGAUUACCCACCGAGCCGAGAUCAAGCGCCUCAAGAGGGAGCUCGAGGAAGCCGAGGAGUGUGCUUUGAAGUUAACUCGAGUUAAUGGAGCUGCCACAAGCGGAAGUCGUCCUCAUCAGUUAGAUUGAGUCAAGCGCAAUAUGUAGCAGGACCUUAUUCGCAUACGUUGCAAUAUUAAGGAGUUUGUCUCAAGUCUCGAUGUUGAAAAUUGGGAGUUAGGAGAAUGUCUUUUCGUCUUUGAAAUAGCUUCGUUGUCUAAGGGUUUUCUUUUGCAUUUUUUCUUGUAUUAUGUAGCAACCUGGCUUUUAAUGAAACGAGCAAAUUGGGGCGAUUAGAUCUUUGUCGUGGACUAACUGCCUAAUUAUUACUUGUACUUAUAUAUGCUUAUCUACCUUUGCUUCAGGUACUAACCGAUCGAUUGUCUUCUACUAAUCGUCGACACGGCCAAGCAGAGAUCUCCAAUUCGCACGUGCGCAAAAGUCAGAAUGGAGAACGAUGACACCAACGUACGCAUAGCCAAGAUGGAGGACCAGCUAGCCCAACUCACCGCAAUGAUGCUUGAAAUAAGCCAGAAGCUUAAGGAGCCCCUCCGCUGUAGCUAUCACUGGAACAUCCAUUCCUACGCUAUCAGGACACGCUUCCCUGUCGACAGGAGGCACGCACGUUGCUGAUCUCCCUGGGAAAGAAAUUGCCGAAGAAGCUCCUUCUGUCACGCCAAUCAUCGUUAAUCUGGAUUCUCCUCCGAAGGAAAACCCAACACCCCGCCUAAGUGAAGAGAGUGAAAAACGUUUGGCAAAGAUGGAAGAUCGACUGUGUGUCUUGCAAGGUUACAAGCUGAAAGGAACUGAUAGGCUAUCUCCAUACACCAAGACAAGCUUUCCUGAGAAUUUCCAGAAGCCUGAGUUCACAAGAAAGUAUGACGGAACGGGAUGCCCAAGGACCCACCUUAGGUAUUACAUGAGGAAAAUGGCUCACUAUGCUGACAACGUGCCAUUCCUCAUACACACAUUCCAAGAUAGUUUGGAAGGCAUUGCCCUGACGUGGUUCAUUACGCUGGACAUUGAAGAAUUCAUUAGUUGGGACGACUUAACCAAUGAGUUCUUGUAGCAAUAUCGGUUUAACACCGAGCUUGCCCCCACAAGGGAAGAAUUGACUCGUGUUGAGAAGAAGAUGAAUGAGUCAUUCAAGGCCUUUGCACAAAGGUGGAUGACCAUGGCCUCACAAGUGAAACCGGCCUUGAAUGAGAGGGAGAUGAAGCAGUUGUUCCUCAAGACAUUGCCCUCUGAAUACUUCCAAGGGUUAGUAUUCUCGGGUUGCCAAACAUUUUCACAGCUAGUUGAGGUAGGUGAAGGAGUUGAAUGGGCAAUGGUUAAGGGAAAGAUUUCAACCGGAGGCACGAAGAAAUUCCCAGCAAUAAAAGAUAAGGAGGCCGCAAUUGAAGUAGCACUUGUGCAAGAGCCACAUUUCCCUCGACCAGCCACAACACUCGCGCACAAGCCUAUGAUGGUUCCAAGUAGUUCAUCACAAGCAUACGAUAAUGGCAAGAGACCCUUUCGAAAGGGGUUUUCUCCACUACCACGCCCGUUGUCAAAGUUAUUACCCAUGCUUCUCGAAAAGAGGAUGGUCGCAAAGAAGGUACCUAGAGAUAACCCCCCGAGGUCCGUCGGGCUCCAUAUGACCAAGACCUGCAAAUACCACAUGGGAGAAAGGGGGCAUGAUGUAGAUAACUGCCACGUGCUGAGAUACAAAGUUCAAUAGCUUCUAGACAAGAACAUCUUGACUUUCAGGGAGGCUCAGCCCAACGUGCAACAGAACCCUCUACCAAAUCAUGUAGGGGGAGUGAACUCAAUUUCCGAGGACACGCGGGCGAGUCAACAGCCUCUAGUGUUGGAUGCUUCCGAGUUGUAUGAAUCCCUAGUGCUAGCGGGAUACUAUGAAGGCCAGGAGGAUGUGACCCUAGAAGAGAAAUUGCAUCGCGUCUGUAGGAUGGUAGCCAUGGGAGUAAUUAGACGCUAAGAAGAGGAAGAGAGGGUCGUAUCCGUGACAAUGCCAUCGUCAUUCCGCUCAUCUUUCUGCAACUUUGCUGGUAUGUCUCGGGCGAGGAAGGUUAUGCGUGGAAUUUCGAAGACCACAGCUUUGUACGAUGAAGGGGUGAUAGCUAUGAUAACCUCGAUGGUGAUUGAACUAUCCGAUGAGGAGCUCGCCGGCGAUAUCGAGGUGGAAAUCGCUAAAUCCACAGUGAUCGACCUUAUGGUCGAAGAGAUGUCGACAAUCGAAGUCACAGGAGGAAACACAAUGCUGGUCAUGAUUGAAUUGCCUCCCCAAGAGGAAGAUGGAAUGAUACUGCUGGAGUAUCCUCCCAAAUUCGAUCCCAAAGCUGUACCUUGGGGUUACGGAACAAAUGAGGUAGAUGAUGUCACGUGAUCAGGCCGCUGUUACGCACCUGAUAAGGGAAUAGAAAAGAAGACCGUGACCAAGGAGGAGGCAAAGUAAUUUUUGGCUAUAGUAAAGUCCAAUGAGUUCAACGUGGUGGAUCAACUGCGGAAGUUGCCGGCUCAAAUCUCCCUCCUGGAAUUAUUCAAAUCUUCUGAGAAGCAUAGGGACAUCUUGCUAAAAGUCCUUAAUGAGGUGCACGUGCCAGAGUCAAUUGAUGAAGUCCAAUUGGAGGAGUUCAUUGGGGCCAUUCUAUUGAAAGACCAAAUUUCCUUUACUGAUGAAGAUCUUCCCCCCGAUGGUCCUAAUCAUACCAAAGUGCUACACAUCUCGGUGAAGCGUGAAAACACUCUUGUUUGCAGAGUAUUGAUCGAUAACGGUUCGAUGCUCAAUAUAUGCCCGUUGGCUACUCUCCACCGUCUUGGCAUUGAUCUUAGGAGAAUCCAUACUGGCAAGUUGACCGUGCGGGCUUUUGACGGGAUGAAGAAGGAGGUGAUAGGGGAAAUUGAGCUUGAGCUGCUAAUUGAUCAUGUACUUUUCCAAACCGUGUUCCAAGUGUUAGAUAUACCAAGCGCUUUUAAUUUUCUGCUAGGGAGGCCAUGGAUCCACACAGCAUGUGCUGUUGCCUCCAGCCUCCAUCAAAUGGUACGAUUUGUGGUGGACAACAGGCUUAUCACGGUCCAUGGAGAAUCCGACUUCAAGAUCUACCACGAGACAGCCAUCCCCUAUGUGGAGCCUGAGUGUACCGAGGAAUCCAGCUUUCAAACCCUCGAGCUGGUAUCCAUGGUCCAUGUGCCUGUAGGGUCCUUCACAAAGGCUCCUGAAUUGUCUAAGCCGGCCAUAACUGCGGGAAAGAUUAUGCUGGAAAGCGGGUAUAAUCCUGGAGAGGGCCUUGGAUCACACGAUUAAAGUGUGCAAAGGCCCAUUGAAGCUCAUAAAAACUUGAAGAGAAGAGACAUAGGAUAUGUUGAUGGGCGAGAAGGUCAUAGCGAGCAGUGUGGUCGUGGCAACCGAGGGGGCCGUGAAAGGCAAAGAGGCCGAAAUGCCCAAGGAGGCUGAGGUGGGUAUAAAGAUUGGAGUGAACGCAUUGCCCAAACUUAGGAGGGUGAGGCCGAUCAAGGCCCAUUUCAUCCGUUGUUGGAAAAAACGUUUCCAGGACCUCCAAGGAUGUUAUUCGAGGAAGAGGGGGACAUUUAUGGUGUGACCGAGCUAUUCGAGGAAGACGUCAUAUGCACCAUCUUGUCAUGCGAGGAAGCUGAGUCCUCUGAAGUCAUGGAUGUCCCUCCAAAGUAGGGCGGUUCUCGUUUAGCCUAGUCUUUCAUUCUAUGUUUUCUCCCCUGCGUGGGAUCUCAAAGUUUUUCUUUCUUUAUUUCCUAUUUAUGUCAUUUGUAAUGUGAACUAUGGUCAACCCCGAUCUUAAGCCGUUGGUCGAGGGUGGUGUGUGUUAAAAUACGGCCUUUUCUUUCCUCAUUCAAUAAAAUAGACACGUGUUUUAUUAAGAACAUGUGGAGGCAAAUCGAACUAGUCCUAUGAUGGUCGCUGAGGCCUAGGUCUCCACAUGCUCCCUUCUUUGACUGUCUUAGAAGGACGAGGAAAUCCGAAGAUAUGAGGAUGAGUUCUUGAAAAUUUUACAAAAAUACUUCAAAAAUUCUUCGAAAAACGACAUGCAUCAUCUUUAUUGUUGGCAUUGCUCUAACUCAUCUCAUCACAUCUCAAGCAUUACAUUAUGCAUAAUCAUCAUAAGGACGCAUAUGACUCGGACGUGCAUGAAGAAAGUCUCUCAGGUUCCGAUGACACCGACGAUGACGAUCAGAAGGGGAUUGAACGCGAAUGGGAUCAAUAUGAAGGAUCGAAACCGUUGACCAAAGAGCGAACAAUCACCAUAAAUUUACGCGAUGUAGAGAAUGUCAGGGAAGUAAGGAUCAAGGCAUGUCUCUCAGAGUCAAAGGCGAAAAAGACAACUAAUCUUUUGAAAGAAUAUCAAGAUGUGUUCGCCUGGACAUAUGCCGCCAUGCCGGGAUUGGACCCCGAAAUUGUGGAACAUGCUCUACCAAUAGAUCCUGAUAUGCCACCCAAGAAGCAAAGACUCAAGAGAACUAAACCAGAAUUGUCCAAGAAGAUCGAAGAAGAAGUAAUGAAGCUGUUGAAAGUAGAUUUUAUCGAAGUGACACGUUAUCCUGAUUGGGUAGCAAAUAUCGUGCCAAUAAUGAAGAAAGAUGGAUGAAUCAGGGUAUGUAUUGACUAUCGUGACCUAAAUCGAGCAAGCCCCAAAGAUGAUUUUCCACUCCCGCAUAUCGAUGUCUUGGUUGAUAGCACGGCAGGAUUUGAGUUAUUCUCCUUCAUGGACGGUUUUUAUGGAUAUAAUCAAAUCCGUAUGAAGAAGGAGGAUAGGAGCAAAACAUCAUUCAUAACUCCUUAGGGAACUUUUUGCUACAAAGUGAUGCCUUUCGAUCUAAAGAAUGCUGGAGCAACGUAUCAAAGGGCCAUAGUCACGUUGUUUCAUGACAUGAUGCACAAGGAGAUCGAGGUAUACGUGGAUGAUAUGAUUGCAAAGUCAAGACGGGGUGAGGACUAUGUUGGAGUCUUGCAAAAACUGUUCAAACGUCUUCGGAAAUUCAAGCUAUGCCUCAAUCCCACAAAAUGCGUUUUUGGGAUGAGAUCGGGGAAGUUGUUAGGGUUCAUGGUUAGUAACAAGGGCAUAGAGAUUGAUCCGUCAAAGGUUAAAACUAUCUGUAAUUUACGAUCCCCGACCACCACCAGGGAAGUCCACAGCUUGAUGGGGCGGCUCAAUUAUGUGGCGAGGUUCAUCUGUCAGUUGUCUGAAACAGCGUGGCCAUUCUUCAAGCUCCUGAAAAAGAACGCAAAGAUUGAGUGGGAUAUCGAGUGCCAGGGUGCCUUCGAGAAGAUAAAACACUAUCUCACUCACGCACCAGUCUUAGUACCCCUUAUCCCUAAAAUUCCCUUAAAUUUUGUACUUGACCAUACAUGAUGAAUCAUUAAGAGCCAUGUAAGCACAGAAAAGACCAAAUGACGGGAGAGAAUGCGCGAUAUACUACUUGAGCAAGAAGUUUACUGUUUCCGAGAUGAACUACACAGAAGUUGAGAGAACUUGCGUGGCCUUGAUUUGGAUUUUGCACAAACUGCGGCAAUACACACUUCAUCACCGAAUCCUGUUGGUGACUGAAAAUGAUCCCAUCAGGUACCUCCUGGAGAAGCUGGCACUAGUUGGCAAGUUGGCCAAGUGGUAAAUCUUAAUUUCAAAGUUUGACAUUCAGAGCCUGGGGCAGAAGUCCGUUAAAGGUUGCGCCAUAACAGACAUGUUGGCAGAAAGUCCCGAGAGGUUCGGGACAUCUGAUGAGGAUAGUGAUGCAGAGGAGCAAAUUUUACUUGUAUCAAGCGACAAAUGGACGAUGUACUUUGAUGGUGCAGUUAAUUUAGCUGGGUCGAAUACUGGGGCAGUUCUUAUCUCCCCAAACGGUCAACACUACCCUGUUGCCGCUAAAUUGACGUUCCCUUGCACAAAUAAUACUGCCGAAUAUGAAGCAUGCAUUCUCGGCCUCCAAGCUGCUAUUGACAUGAAGAUCCAAAAGAUGCAAGUUUAUGGUGAUUCGGCCCUUAUCAUCUUACAGACUAAAGGCGAAUGGCGAACACAGGAUUCUAAAUUGAUUCCGUAUCAUGAGUUCCUGGGGAAGUUGACGAAAGAAUUCUAAGAAAUAGCAUUUGAAUAUUUGACAAGGUCUCAAAAUCAGUUCGCUGAUGCCCUAGCUCCUUUGUCUUCAAUGUUACAAGUAGCUGGAGGCUUGGACAUUGAACCAUUAAGAAUUGAAAUCUUUAGGCGCUAGCUUAUUGCAUGACGAUUGAAGAAGAACUGGACGGACAGCCUUGGUAUCACGACAUCUUGAAGUAUCUGCAGAAGGGUGAAUUCCCCGAAGGAAGUGAAGCAGCAGACAGAAAGCAUUUAAUAAAGUUAGCAUCGAAAUUCUUUGCCAGUGGAGAUGCCCUCUACAAAAGGUCCUUCAACUCGACAUUGCUAAGGUGUGUCGACGUUAAAGAAGCUGACCGUUUGAUGAAAGAGAUACAUGAAGGGGAGUGUGGCCCCCAUAUGAAUGGACACUUCUUGGUGAGAAAAAUCACGCGACUCAGUUAUUAUUGGCUGACCAUGGAGUUCGACUGCAUUCAGCACGUACGACGGUGUCACUAGUGUCAGAUUUAUGGAGACAGGAUAAAUGCCCCUCCAAACGAACUUCACCAAAUGUCUCAGCCCUGGCCUUUUUCAAUGUGGGGAAUUGACGUGAUCAGGCCCAUUAACCCCAAAGCUUCAAAUGGACACCGUUUUAUCUUGGUGGCGAUAGACUAUUUUACCAAGUGGAUCGAGGCCAAUUCAUAUGUUAAUGUUAUUGCCAGGAAUGUGGCGAAGUUCAUUCGUCGUGACAUUGUCGCUCAUUACGGGGUGCCGGAGGCAAUUAUUACCGACAACAACACUAAUUUGAACAACAAAGUUGUGGAUGGUUUGCUUAACGAGUUUCGAAUUAAACAUUUGAACUUGUCACCGUACCAUCCUCAGAUGAAUGGAGCAGUGGAGGCGGCAAACAAGAACAUAAAGAAAAUCUUGUCAAAGACCGCUGAAAAUUAUCGUGAUUGGCAUGAUAGGCUCCCUUACACGCUAAUGGCAUACCGAACUUCUAUCCGCACCUCCACAGGGGCAACUCCUUUUUCACUCAUGUACGGGAUGGAGGCGGUCUUUCCUGUUGAAGUUGAAGUCCCUUCUCUAAGGGUCAUUUCCCAAUCUAUGCUCGAUGAGACUGAGUGGAUGCAACAGAGGCAUGAGUAGUUAAACUUGAUUGAUGAGAAGAGAUUGCAAGUUGUGUGUCAUGGCCAAUGCUAUCAGAGACAAGUUGCAAAAGCCUUCAAUCGAAGGGUGCGUCCUAGAUACUUUGAAGUCAAUGACCUGGUGCUGAGGAAAGUGCUUCCGAUUAUACCAGACCCUCGUGGCAAAUUCACCCCGAACUAUGAAGGGCCGUAUGUCAUUAAGAAGAUUAUGCAUGGCGGUGCUAUGAUUUUAGUUGAAAUGGAUGGCAAUGAAUUGCCUAGACCUGUAAACUCAGAUGCAGUCAAGAAAUAUUUUCCAUGAUUGAAAUCAAGGUCGAGGAACCACUUCAUGCGCAAUUUGAGUCACAUGGCAUCAUGCAUAGCAUCAUAGAUAUCAUACAUAUAUCACAUACAUGCAUAUCUAUUUGCGUUUCAGGCACUUUACCGUUCGAUGAGGAAAUGGCGGAGGGAAAAGUCGAUUCAAAAGAUCCAUCAAGUCUCCGCACAAAUGGUUGAAUAUCUCUUUUUCUUAAAUGAGAGGUAAAAAGGGGGGGGGGGCAUGGCGUCAUUCAUACAACCUAUUUUCUGGUGUCACUAUACGUGCUUCAUGUCGGUAAUCCUAGAAGAGGGGAGCUCGUAAAAAUGAUUUUAUUUGGAUAAAAAGGUGAAACAUUAAUCAUGCCAAACAAGGAGUGCUUAGGAUGAAGAAAGGUAAGUCAUUUCCAAACACAUCCUUUGAACACUUUCAAGAGUUGAGUGAAAAACAACCUUCUCUUAGGACGAAGGAUCCAUUCGCAUUGAGUGUGAAGAUCGAAAUGAUAAAGGCAUUUCCUUCAUCAAUACCAAGCGCCAAGCUGACAUAUUGCUAGCCCUUCGGGCCAAAUAGAGAUGAUCUUCCAAAGUACCCCUGUCGAGAACGACCCAACAUUGGGGCGGCAUAGGAGGUUACAGUCGUGUUGUAGAGCGAAUGAUUGGGAAAGAUCCUAUUACUUUCACUUGCAUCAAUCUUCUGGUGAUAACUUCAAAGGAAUUCUCAUUAGAUCUUGACUCAUCCCAAUGUGAAGAAGAGCAUUUCAUUCUCCACCCAAACACUGAUACACAUUGCUUUAACCAAUUUGGGCCUGAUUAUUCAUUUUUGAACCCCGAGUGGUGAUCAUCUCCCUUCACUGGGGCAAAGCAUAAGAACUGAUCAAAUACAAUUGACAGUUACGAGAACAAUGUGAAAAGUAUCUUGAAAGUCAUAAAAGCUCCGAAAGUUCAAAAAGCGAAAAUUUCGACAAACUAGGGGGCAUGAAAAAGCAGUGUGCCUGGUAAAAGUAAGACCAAUGCCCGUGAAAAAAGAAGAAGCCAAAAGGCUGCAUCUUAUGUGAAAAAAAAAAAAUUAUUAUCAAAGUCCAAGUGCCUGCGUAAAGAAUCAUCGCGAGUGCAAAGGAAAUUAGAGAAAAGAGUGAUUAAUCAAGGGACUUUCGAGAUGCGUUGUAUUUCAAAAGCCAAAUGAUUUGGAAAGAUCAAGUGACCUGGUCAUGAUGCCAUGAUGAUCACCGACUCUUAAAGACCCUAUUGAAAGUUUUAAGCCUUUCGAGCCUUUCCCGAGCCAACAUUAUAACCCUUUUUCCGAAGCCUCUUCUAAUUGGGAUAAUUUGAGUGAAAAUGAGAAUACCACAAAGAAGUUAUUGCUUGAAGGAGUGGAAGUAAUUCUAUAUUGUCUUAUCUUCCAAUCUCUCGCUUGUAAACCCAAUGAAGAUAAUGACAAAUGUUCAUUUAUUGGCCUCGAAGCAACAAUUCCUUUGUGUAAGCCCUAAUCGAGCCUAUAUUGCGGUUCUUUCAAAAGACUUUUUUGAUCGAUCAGAUUGUGCUCAUUGUGAAUGUUUCCGGAAGCCUUCGACGUAGGUUAUGUGAGAUACCUUCAGCAGCCAAUUAUCUCCCACAUGAAUGGAUGGGAUCAAGUAGCCAUUUUAUUGAGAGUGCGUGAGAAACCAUUUCUGACUAAGAAGCUCUAGUUUGGCAUGCUUAAUGAACAUUUUUCUCGAGUCGUAGCCGUUCUAAUGAGAGUUUGCCUCCUAGAGAAUUUGAUGAUUAAUGAUAUAUCCACGAGCAAGAUGACAGUUUUGCACCACAUGAGGCUGAUGGACAUCGAAUGUUUUUCUAGAGCAAUCGGACUUAGCUUGAUUAUUUUGUUCAAUUAUUGCUGUGAUAUUGCCAAUAUGCCUCUUGAUGACGUCUCUAACGAUAUUUGCUUAAGUUGAGUUUGACAGGAUUCAUCAAUGAAGCCAUGCGGUUUUCUAAGGGGUUAGCAGGUGCUUCCCUAAAAAAAAAUAACCAAAGGUUCAUGGUUAGCCUUAAACCAUGUCAUCUCCGAAGGUUUAUGGUUAGCCUUAAACCAUGUCAUCUCCGAAGGUUUAUGGUUAACCUUAAACCAUGUCUUUUCCAAGAUUGGUGGGUUCAUCCGUAAACCACGCUUGUCCGCCUCCCAGUUGAAACCCUUCGUACACGGUGAGACUAUCAUAUCCGGUCAAAACUCGUUCUUACACGAUGAGACCUCAGUCUUCCUCCCUUCUUAUGACCCAGAGAGCUUUGUAUCCUAGAGUCUUCCUCCCUUCUUAUGACUCGGAGAGCUUUGUAUCCUGGAGUCUUCCUCACUUCUUAUGACCCGAAGAGCUUUGUAUCCUGGAGUUUUCCUCACUUCUUAUGACCCGGAGAGCUUUGUAUCCUGGAGUCGUCCUCACUUCUUAUGACCCGAAGAGCCUUGUAUCCCGGAGUCUUCAUCACUUCUUAUGACCCGGAGAGCCUUGUAUCAUGGGGUCCUCAUCACUUCUUAUGACCCGGAGAGCUUUGUAUCCUGGGGUCUUCCUCAUUUCUUAUGACCCGGAGAGCUUUGUAUCCUAGGGUCUUCCUCCCUUCUUAUGACCCGAAGAGCCUUGUAUCUUGGAGUCUUCCUCACUUUUAUGACUCGGUGGGCCUCUGUAGCCUGAAGUCUUUCUUCAUCUUAUUGACAAGACGCAUUUCCAUAGUUAUGAGUCAUUUUCGUCGACCUAAUACGUGCAUAUGCACCUAGGGUCUUUCUAUCACCGAAAUAAUUUAUGUGUCUUCUAUAUUUGAUUGCAACCUCUUCGAGGCUACAUUCAAAGAGGGGCAGCUAUUGACACAUAAUUUUUAUCUUUUUUAAAAUAUAAAUAAAUAAAUAAUCAAUCAAAAUCAAAAUCAAAAAUUUUAAUUAUUAAUUUUCCUUUAAAAAAAAAAAAGAAGAGUCGUGCGGGUCCGGGUCGGGUCGGAUCCAUCCUUGGCCCGACCCAGCCCUUUUUCCCUUUAUUUUCCCCUCGCAUGAGCCUGGGCCCAAUCCCUCUCCUCCUUUUUUUUCUUUUUUCUUUUCCCUCACGCAGCCCAGCCCUCUUUUUUCCCUCCAGCCCGGCCCGCCCCGUUGUCUUCUCCCUCAGCCGUCUACUGUGCAGGGAAUCAGUGAAGAGGAAAGCGGAAAAUAGCCGUUCGCGUGGGGAAAUGGCGAAGCCGAAAGCAGGGGCAGAGGGCAGAGGAGACAGCAUCAUCUCGCGGGGCAGGUGAGCGUUGGAAGCGGCAAGAGAGGUCAAAGCCGAUUCACACGCGCGCGCGAGCCGAAGGAUCGACAAAAGGGAGAGAUCUGGAGAGAGGCCAGGGGGGAAGACACAGAAAAGAGGAAAAACGGAGGACGAAAGAAAAAAUCGAGAGAAAACAGGAGGCGAAACAGAGAGAGAAACAAGGGGAAAACGAGAGAAACAGGGAGCCAAAGGACGAGGAACUCACCGAAGCUGCCACCGUCGACGCGUCUCCCAACCGCUGCAACCGCCGCCGACGCAUCUCCGGACCACAAUCGCCGCCGCCGCCGCCGCCACAGACGCGUCUUCCAAGCUACCAUUCCCGUCGGAACUCAGGUUGGCAUUUCAUCGAAUACCUAGCGUGCAUUUUGAGCUUGAGUUGGCUGGAGUUCGUUCCGUUCGUUUCGGGCGAGCUCCGACCUCCGUAGGUCCCCCUUAGGUUCCUAUCUGUUGUUGUUUGCUUGCUGGUUACUGCUGUUGCCGCCUCAGGUCCGGUUUAGGUCAGAAGCCUCCUGGUUCGCCCAUGCCAUCUACCUGUUCACCAUAAUGCCCAAGUGGGCUCUCUCCCUCCGAAGCUCCUCCACAUGGAGCCCUAGGACCCUUGACUGCCGAAGGGACGCCAUUGUAGCCAGGGAAGCCACGCUGCUCACCCUACCUGGCCACGGCAGUGCCGUCACCGGCGUGCGUCUUCUCGGCGCCUCGGGUCGCGACUACCUAGUCACAACCAAGGGGAGGUCUGUCGAGUGGGCCAGAUCCCAGAUCUGGCCCACUCGACUCCUGUUUUCACUUGGGCCCAACUCUCAGGCCCAAGUUGAGUUAAGUUAGGCCCGACCAGGGACGAUCAAACCUAACUCGGUCGGGCCGGGCCCAGUUGAGUCGGAUCCAGUUAGACUCGACCCGACUUGGUCUAGUCCCAAAAAAAAAAAUCUAAAAAAAAAAAAGAGAAAACAAUUUCGAAAAAAUAUAUAUACAAAUUUUUUUUUAAAAAUUAAAAUUUUAAAAAUAAAAAAAAUUAAUUAAAAAUUAAUUAAAAAAAUUUAAGAAAUUUCGAAAAUUAAAAAAUGAUAGGGUUUGGUUAGGAAUUGCUAUGUUUUGCAUUUUUGGUGUAAUUAGGCAUUUAAUUGCUUGUGUUUUGAUUAUAUGUUGCAUGUUUAAUUUGUAUAUCUAAUUAUGUUUAAUUGCACAUAUUUAAUUUUACUGCAAUUAGGAUCUUGAUAGCUAUGAUUGUUAUUUCAAUGUUUGUGCACCUGCAUGAUCACUUCGUAUGUUAGUGGAUAGGUAUAAAAUCAAUCCAAAUUGCUUGCCAAAAGGUAUCGAAAGGGCAUUAAUUGAUCAAUUAAUGUAAUCAAGUCCCCGACCCUAGAUUCUCUGGUUGCGUAGGAAGUGAAGUACACUCCCAUACCUCACUUGGUUUCUAGCCGACCCCAAUAGGCUAGUGGCGACUCCUUUUGUGCAAAAUUCUAAAGAAUAUCCCAAUGUCACGCGGGGUAUGGGCUUGGGAGAGCCCGCACCUAAUCAUGGGCCUUAGACCCGUCCUGAGGCAAUACCCCUAAAUCUGUUCCCUCCCCCCGAGGGUAGGUCGCGAUAGGGGGGUAACGCAACUGCCACGCCAUCUGGGUCACGGCGAGGUAUCUAGGGCGGUAGGGUCGCGGGAGGACCUUGCCGCCCCCGAUCUGGGUCGCAAGACCUCGCCGCCCCCCAAAUCUGGGUCGCGCGACCUCGCCACCCCGGAUCUAAGUCACAGCGAGGUCGCCGAAGGUCGAGGCGAUGUCACGCGACCUCGCCGCCCCAGAUCUGGGGUCACCAAAGGUUGCCCGACCCCAUGCGGCCUUUGCUAGUGGUCUUCGGGGGUCGCUCGACCCCGCGCAGCCCUCCCCAAUCGUCUCCAGGGUUGCUUGAGUUAGAUGUUGGCCGUUGACGACAAAUUUCGAUCACCGGCAGCCACCUGCCUUGCCGGUCAAUUUUUUUAUUUUUCUUUUAAUAAUUUUUUUUAUCACAAAAGUCCUUUGUAAAUGUAAUUCCCCCAAACACCAUUUUGCUCAAAGAUAUUUCACAAUGGACUUUUAAAUUAUAAUUUACCAAACACAAUUUGUAUUCUGAAAAGUCCCUUCAACCUAAAGUCAUUUGCAUUUUCCCAAUGGCUUUUUCCAAAAGUCCAACCAAACGCACCCUUAAGCUCCUCGUUCAUUGGAAAAGUUCAAUCAGAAAGCAAAAGGGAACAUACCUUUCUCCACUCACCCACUUCUCUCUUUAUAAAACAAGUCUCAAUAGAAAUUUGAUCUAAAACUGUCUGAUUGAAAGUAUGUCUUUUUGCGAAAGUGAAAUCAUUCUUACAAAAUAAAACCAAAAAAAAAAAGUAUAUGAAACCAGUUUGUAAGUAAUUUAUUUCUUUUAAUAUGCAUGUAUUAUAGAACAGAUGAAGUAUAGCAACUUAGGGGCAUCCCCAGCAUUGCAAAUAGAAUUAAUAAUUCAAAAAAAAAUGGAGAUAGAAAGUCUCCAUAUAUUAGCCAAUACAACAUUUGUCUAGGAAUGUUUAAUUUUUUGAUAAAGUGAAGUUAUACUUUUUAUAUUUUUACGCACCUUGGCCAAAAUAAUAUGGAUGUCCAUUGACUUAUUUGGAAACCGUCUAGGGUUACACUCCAUCCAAAUGGAAUAUAUGGUUGCUAGAAAAAAUGCCUUGAAGAGUCUCGCCACCAAAUCUUUGCUUUUAUUUCGCUAAUCAUUUAUUGAAAUUUCUCAUUCCAUCCUCUCCUAAAGAAUACUUCAUCCCAUGCUGCGCUAAGAUAUAUAGCAGAUUCUACCUGUCAAUUCACAUUGAAAAAAUAGAUGAGCUCUAUCUUCUAUACUAGCGGACUUAAUUUGAAUAUAAGUGUUUUAUUUGACAAGUUGAAAAAUCAUCACAACCCCAUCAUCCAUGUGCUAGACUUAAUAAAAGUAAUUAAAAGAAGACGUAAAGAUUCCAAGGUUUGUAGGCCCCUGAAGGUAUCUGGGUGUCUUCUUUAUCAACAGAAAAUAUGUGGUAUAGAUGCCUAGAAUUAACGAUGUUCAUGCGGCUGUUAGUCCAUCCGCAUUUAGGAUUCAAGUUGAUGUAGGAAACGUUGGACCUGGUGCAUGCCAAGUAUGAGGGAUCUAUUAGGACGAGACUCAAGUGUCUACAAAUGCUUAUGCACCACCAUGAAGACAAAAGCAUUGAAAUACAUAUGUUAUUGAGAGAGAGUCUAUUUUAGGACAUGAAAGAUGGAUUUUAGUCCAAGAACCUUUCCUUGUUUGCUGUCGAUGGAUCUAGCUCUAAAUGAAGACAAGCUACUUUGGGAAAGACUUGGUGCACUUGCGCUGAUUUAGCAUCUCAUAUGCUAACACAUAAGUAGUUAAUACAUAAACAGUUAUGCUAACGUCAUAGUAUAGUUAACAGAAAAAACAAGCAAACCCUAUCUCUCUUCCACACAUGUUCAGCUAAUAUCAGAUCAAGACUUUCCAGAUAGUCGUAAAACAAAGUCAAUGCACACAAAUUCACCCAUUAGUUCACAUCAUUCUUUCCAAGAAAGACCUUGAUGGGCUAAGCAACUCAAAAGCGAAGCUUUAUUAUUGUCUCACACAUCAAGUGUCCCGCAAAAUGUUAACUAAAGACCCAAAAAAUGUGAUGUAUGCAUGACCAAGGCUAAUGCAAUUAAUUCCUUUUGGGUUUUUCUUUGAAAAUAAGCAUGAAUAAAUAUAAAUUUAAUGUCUAUAUGAGUUCUAAAUUAAGUAAUAACAUGAAAUCUAAAUACCAUGUAUGUUGUGUUGAUUAGGGAAAACUACCAAAAAAGUUCUAAAUUUAUUGUAGUUUUCCAUUAAUCAGUCUCAAACUUUUUUUUUUCAAUUCAAUCCUAAACCUUUUUCAAUUGAGCCAAUUUAAUUUAUUUAGCCAAAAUUGGCUGGCUAGCGCUUACAUGGCAAUUUAUUAAUAAUAUUUUUAUUUUUUCGAAUUUUUAAUUAUUUUUUAUUUUCUUUUUUCUUUUCUUCUUUUCUCCCACAGUGGCCGAUGAGGGCCGCGAAGCCUGCCGGCAACCAACGACCCUUGCCUAGAUUUGGGCAAGACCUAGGGGCCGCACGGGCUGUAGGGGACACCAACCUCAUAGUGGGCACUACGGGCAAAGCGAGCCUCACUUAGAUCAAGGCGUAGACACCUUCACCUGCAAUCCCUAGGCCUUGCCAGAUUUGGGUGAGGCUGAGCGAGGGUCGCUAGUCGCCAACCCAAAGCCCCCACCAGCCACUACAAGGAAGAGAAGAAAAAAAGUAGGAUGAAAAGGAAAAUAAAAAAUAAAAAAAAUUAUUAAAAAUUGCAACGUUAACAUCGACUGAUUAACCGACGUCCACAUCAAUGCCGCCCAACCAAAAUUAACGAGAUGGACUGAAUUGACAAAAAGAAAAAAUAUGAGUAAUUUGUAAAAAUUACAAUAGAUUUAGAACUCAUUUGGUAAUUUUCCCAUAUUGAUCAACAUACACACAACCUAUACGCAACUCUAAUGACAUGAAAUAUGGUUAAUUAUGAAACGAUCCUAUUAUUUAAACUCGCUGGGAGAUUUUGUAAUUUCUUUUCUUAUAGAAAUGAAGAUUAAAUUUUAGGACACCUAAUGACUUUUAUUAAAAAUGACCAAGCAAUGCAAUGCUAAUUAUUUUUUGUAUUUUCUUUUAAUGAUUUAAAAUAGGGAACUGCCUAUAAAGGCUUUAACCAAUUAAGAAAUAAUCUAACUAAUCAAUGACUAUGCUUAAACAUGAAGAAUGAAUAUUUCUUUUGAUUUCUAAUGAAAAAAGAAUAUGCAAUCUCCUAAUGCAAGAUAUGACAUGACUGGUGGAUUCACAGCAAGCAAGAUACGUUUCUAAAAUAAAAGUCCAUUGAAUAAUAAAUAAACUCACCUUACCCAAUCACUCAUGCAUUGUAGAGAAACUCAUAUCAACGAUCAGCGCAAUGGACGACCGCACUAGAGCAACAGAAAGUCAAGUUAAAUGGCAACUGGACAGCGCGAAGCAAUCUGACAAUACACAUUUUAUUUACUUUCACUUGUACUUUUUCCAUAUUAAUAAAGAUAAUUGACCCAAAAUCACACUAUGCACAUUGCAACAUCCCUAAAGUGGGGCGCCUAAUGCAAACAUGGAUGUGGCCGGCCAUCCCAAGAAGAACAAAACAUCACAUACCCACAAAAGUGCAUAAACACAAUACAUCAUAUGAGCUUACAAUUUUUGCUGAGUCAUAGGGGCUUUAAUGAGACAUGAUAAGACACGAAUUCAGAGGGUUUCCAAAGGAAAGGACAAAUUAAUUUUCCCUCUCAAUUUGCCUUCUCUUCUUGGUCCUCCACUUUCUUGCAAGAAUCGUCCUCACGGUGGCUUGCUUCUUUGGGGCUCUCCAGAGCCCUCUUCUCUUGCUCCUCUUUUUCAACCCCGUUCGACUCGCAUUUCUCUCUCAAUCCUCCGUACUCCUCGUUCCCCUCUGCUCUCGCCUUCAUCACCUCCAGCAAUUCGCUCACUGCUUUCUCUCUGUUCCUCCGUUUCUUGAUCAGGACUUCGCUUAUGUCCGCCGGCGUCAUCUUCGCCUUCUCGACCGCCUCUCGGAGCUCGCUUGCUGCCGCCUCGCUGAGGUCCUCGCCCUCACUACCCAGGUAAUUGUGGAGCAGGAUCUUGAGCGCCGGGUAGGAGCAGUAGCUCAUGCAGAUGUGCAUGUCCAUCCGGCCGCUCCGGAGCAAUGCCGGGUCGAGCUUGUCGAUGUGGUUGGUGGUGAACACAAAGAUCCGCUCACUCCCGCAGCACGACCACAGACCGUUGGUGAGGUUGAGCAGCCCCGUUAGGGUAAUCGUGUUGCCGUUCCCAUCCUCAUCGCCGCGGGCUGGCUCAGGCACCCUAGGGUUGUAGUAGCUCCAGGGCACGGCGGCCUGGCUUGCCUUCGACUUGUUCGACAGAUUUAACAAGCAGUCGAUGUCAAUGGCGAUGAUGGACUUGGAGCUGGUCUUCAUCAGGAGCUUCCGGAGCUCGGAGUUAGAGUGCACUUCAGCCAGCUGGAGGUAGUAGAUGUGAUAGCUGAGGAAAUUGGCCAUUGCAGCGAUCAUACUCGAUUUCCCCGUCCUAGGCGGGCCGUAGAGCAGAUAGACCCGCUUCCAUGCCCGGCCCGUCCUCUGGUAGAAGGCCUGCCCGGCCAUGAAGUCGCUGAGGUCCUCCAUGAUGUCCCUCUUCUUCUCCGGGUCCAUGGCCAACGUGUCGAAGGUGCUCAGGUAUUUGAACAGCACCGCUUCCCAAGGGCGACCCCGGGAUGCGCUGCCCCGCGAAGUAGUAUAAAUGAGGCGUUCUUGGUUGUUGCGGCAGAUGUCGUUGGCCUUGUCCAUGAUGUGGUCCAGGUAGGAGUUGAGGAUGCGGUCCUUCUUGCGCUUCUUGAUCCGAAGCGUGAAGCUGCGCUUCUCAUCGGGGACGGACCGCCACGAGGACGGCUGGGGCUGGCGCUGCGUCGCCUUGUGCUCCCACUGAACGGCGACGCCGUCAAAGACGUCAGCGAUGGAGUCGUUGCUGGAGAGGCCGAAGGUGGUGACGCUGGAGUUGCGGGCGCGGGUGAGGGAGAGGCGGCUGGCAGAGGCGGAGGUGGAGGCGAAGGAGCCAAGGUAGAGGUGGACGGCGUUGUAGAGCUCGUUGGUGUUGACGCCGUCCAUCUCGGCGACGUCGAAGUAGCAGUAGGAGAAGCAGCGGAGGGCCCGGGUGAGGAACUUGAGGGAAGCGAGCCAGAGCUCCGGCGGGAGCACCAGCUGGAGGAAGGUCUGGCAGAAGGCCAGGGUGCCAAGGAGGGAGGCCAGAGAUGUCCAAGACUCCUUCCUUUCUGCCAUCUCCGUUUGAGUGUCGAGGCUAAGAUUUUCUUGGACAUCUCCAAGUGUCGAAAGAGAAAACUAUGACCUCAGGCGGAAAGGAAGAUAUUUAUGGAGGGAUCGGGUCGGGUCGAUUUGGUCGGGUCGGAUGUUUCAAUGAAGUAAAAACGUGUGUGGCUCACAGCCUCACAAGUGGCUAAAUCCCAGUGGGGUGUCAUGAGCUUGACUAGGGGUGAGCAUGGUUCGGGUUGGUCCGAGCCACCCCCUAACCCUAGGACCAACUCAUACAGUGUCGGUCCUCAAUUUUUAGGACCGGGGACCAACCCUAUUGAGCCUGGGACCAAGGACUGAACCGACUCAAUGGGUUCGGUCCGGUUCCCGAGUUAACCCGGAACCGAUCGAUAAUUUUUUUCAUCUUAUUUUUUAUACUCCCUAAAAAAGCAAAUCUACAUAUUCAAAUUAUACAUCCAUCGACAAUGCAUCAUUGUGCAACUAAACUAUAAAUACCAAUACAUAUUUAGCAAAUUUAAGAUGACACAACAAUAGAAAUUUCGUACCUGCUAACCACUCAUCAAGAUAUGGGACAAGAUGGAAAAUUCUUGUAAUCAUCUAUCUUUAAUAUUCAUAAUACCAUAUGCAAAAGCGUUUUCCUGCAUUUGAUCAUAUAGAGUCCACUCAACCAAAAAAUGAGCUUCACACCACUUGACUAGCAUUUAAUCAUGUAGAGUUCACUCAACCAAAAAAUGAGCUUCACACCACUUAACUAGCAAAUCACCGUAGCAACUGUAGUACUACUUUACUCUUCAAAAACUUCUACCAUUUGACACAAAUUGAAAAGCAAAGUGUAGCUGAAAUUCAUUAGUAAAAUACAAUUAAACCAUAAAAAGUUCAAAAUACUUAAUAUAAACUAUGAAUAUAUAACUUCACAUCUUGUUAAUUCACUUGAACUUCUAAACACCUAAAAACAAAACAAACGACACAUAAUUAAUACUCAACAAAAGUUUUAAAGAACGUCUCAAUAUAAUAUAAUAUAACAGACAUUUUAUUUAGGUUUGAAUGUAUAAAAUAAUUAUAAAUAAUAUAAUAUAAUAUAAUAUACAGGGUGGGUCCAGGGUUGGACCGACCCAAAACUCUUAGAACCAAGGACCAACCCGCACAGUGUUGGUCCUAGAAUCUCAGGACCAAGGACCGACCCAAUUCCCUUGGAAACCGGACCAGGACCGGCAGGGUUGGGCCGGUCCAAGGUUGGUCCAGGGUCGACCCUAGACCGCUGCUCACCCCUAAGCUUGACCCCCUCCCGUCCGUGGAGAUUCUGACUGACAACAAAUCUUUUUAUUAUUGCAUUUUAUCAAUAUUUCUCUUUUUUUUUCUUUUUAGUCAUUUACUUAAGUGCUCCGAUAAAAGACGGAUCUAAUUUUAGAAAUAAAAUCCUCAAUUUUAGGACCAAUCAAAAUUUCGUUUGGAUUGAACUUUUUUUUUGUGUAGUAAAAAGAAAUCGCCUAUUUUCAUUAUAGUCUCAAAUUUGUCCCAUUAACUUGCCGGUCCAAAAUCGUUGUUGGUUGUCCAACAUAUUCACUGUGGUAUUUUCCUCCCUGUUCAUCGUCCUUAUUUUUUUGUUUCAUUUCUUCUUUUUCUUUCUUCACGCCUCCAUCUCCAUCUUCUUCAUAAAGAACCACAACAAGCCAAAUGAUUCGCUAAGAACCAUGCCAAGGACACGAGACACAUUAGAUUCUAAUGAUGAAAUUAAAUGGAAAUAUAAUGAAGGAUAGAUUUAGAUAUGAAGUAAAUAUAUAUAUAUAUAUAUAGAUAUAUAUAUACUUCAUAUAUAUAUAUAUAUAUAUAUAUAUAUUAUGAGAUAAAAAAAAUUGGGGAAAAAUUAAAAUAUGAUUAAAAGUUAGGAGUUUUUAAUCGAAUUAGCCCUAAUAUCAAGUUAGGAGUUGAUAAUAUUGAGAUUCGACCCCAAAUUGAAAAAAAAAAAAAAAACAUUAUCACUUCCAUCUCUCAAUGUCCUGUAACCAUUUCUUUUUUCUGUCAAAUUUCUUUUGGACAUAAAACUAUAGACGUUGGAGUUUAAUGACCUUGGACUUGGCAAUUAAAAUUUUGACUAAUGGAUGCCUAGGAGCCAACCUACCAAAUGCUAGACCCCAUUUGGUUCGAGUUUGAUAGCCGAAUCAUGACUGACUAGGUUUUAAUUGCCGAGUCACUGUUGAUUCAAGCUUGGUGGGGAGCAGUUGAAAAACUUCGAGUGGUGUCUCACGGUCACCUUAUGCAGUAUCGAUGGUUCCUGGGCAUUCUCAUUAUGUGUUUGCAUUAAUUUUAAGCCAUAUUUACACAAUUGCAUUGCAUUUGAAUUGAUUAUAAGCAUAGCGUUUAGAUUACGACUUUCUGAUAUGCAAUUAGCAUAAUUGGGCUUUAAGUCAUUUUUACAAUGAAUAAAAAAUAAUUAAGAGACUGAUAAAUAAAAAGAUGAUGAGAAAAAAUGAGAGUUGCAUUUAGUUUAGAGUUGUAUGUUGUAACUUCCAUUUGAUUCAUGUUUUGUUAUUUUAUGUUUUUGACUAGUUAGGAAGUUUGCAUCCCAAGGCUUUACAACAUGGCAGUGUACAUUAGUUGGGCGUAAAUGUAGUACGAUCGUACUAGUUUUGGUUUUUUUUUUUUUUUGUCUUUUUGAAAUUAGCUAAGAAAAUAAACGGAAAUUUCGAAGUACUGUUCAUCUCUUCAACCUCGAUCGCGCGGCCAAAGCUUCCUUGGCACUCGCCAUGGCUGCCAACUGCCACGUAGAUCUCUGGCGGCGCUCAUUCGCCCUUACUUGACUCCCUACCGAAUCUAGCCACGGCGGCUGCAAGCUUCGAGGUCAAAUCUUAUAAUACGGGGCCCAUUAAUUCAGCCCACAUGUUUAACGACCCAAGCCCUCAACCCAGCCCAUGUCUCCUAUAAACCAAGCACCGUCCAUCUUUAUUUUUCUCUUCAACAGAUCGUGCGUGAUUGUAAGAGGAAGAAGACCAAUGACAUUACCAAAGAAGGCAGCUUGUCCACGAGAGAGAGAGAGAAAUUCACACGUUGAUGAUCUGGACGACUCAUCGAGCCGAUUUAAUACCGUUUUACAAUACCUAGUAAGUAGUAAGUACUCAAAGCCUCCAUUCAUCUAAUCAAGGAAUUCUCAAAGUUAUAGCACAAAAUUCGGAUUUAUGUCAAUUCUAAGUUGCUGUGCCCAAUUGAGGAGUUGUCGGGCUAUGCGCACACGUGUACGAUAGUUUAGGGUGUUGUAAAGUUAUAACAUUUUACCAAUCUUAAUUUGAGUUUACAGUUUUCUCAAAAUGAAAUUUUGAAAUUGGCCACACAUGCUAAACAGUUUGCAAACAGUAAAUUAGGGGUUGAAUUUUAUAGACAUACACCACAUGAAAAUGGCCUGAGCUUGGUUUAUAGGAGACAUGGGCUGGGCCAAGGGCUUGAAUAAUAAAAUAUGCGGGCUAAAUAAAUGGGCCUUAUAUUACAAUUUACUUUCUUUACAAAAAUUUAGUACUUAAAAUUUAGUCAUACAUCAAUCAUCAAACAAAUGAUGGGUCUAUGUCUUGCCUUCCCCUCUCCCAUCAUCACAAAAACCUUUUCAGUAGCCCUUUGCCUUUGCUGAUUUUUCGGGGAACUGAAGGCAUACUCUUUCUCAUGGGAUGAGUACAUGCUAGAUGUCUAGUUUAGGGAACUUUUUGGUAAGGAUUGUAUGUAGCUAAUGAGUUUCUAAUUUAAUUUUGUUGGGUAUGUAUAUAUAUUGUGUUGGUGAAUUAUAGAAAACUCUAAUAUAUAUGUUUGUAUAUUUUGAUAUCAUGUUGAGUUUUGCUAAUGAUAACGUUACACCAUUUGCAUAAAGGACAGUCAUGUCAUGUCUUUAUCUUUAUAGAGUCGGGGGUGCAACAAAUGUAACUUCAAAAAUCUCCGCCGCCACAAUCAAUCAGAGCUUAGUGCUUGGCCCGACAGUCUGCUACCGACAACAAUAGCCACAGUUCUAUUGAUGGUUCUUUUCGUCUGUCUUGACAGUUCCUCUGUAGCAGAGCAGUCGGAGAUUAUGUCUUGCAGAAGAGAGCUCUAUCCAUCCCUGUCAUCUCUGAGAUUUCAUCAAAACUUGGUUGUGGCUAAAGGUGUCAAACGGGUGGGUCAAGUCGGGUUUGGGUCGGGUCAUUAAUGAUCCGACCCAAAUUGACCUAUUAACUUAUUUAUGACCCAUUUAUGCAUAAUGUAAAUUUUUCGACCCAUACCCGACUCAUUUAACUAAACUUAAAAAAGCUUAUUAUAUAUAUAUAUAUAUAUAUAUAUAUAUAUAUAUUAAAAAGGAUAUUGCCAAAAUAGUUUUAUAUAACACAAUUUUAAUGAACAAUUUUUAUAAUUUUUAAAAUAAUUAUUUUACAAAAUCGAAUUUAAUUAUUUUUUAUUUUUAAAAAAUUAAAAAUGUAAUUAUUUUUUUAAUAUAAAUUUCUUUUUUUUUUCUUCUUCUUCUUUGGCCGGCCGUUGGCGAGGCCUCCGCCUCUCCAGAUCCGGCGAGCUCAAGGCUUGCCGGCGUCGGGUGAGCUCGAGCUCGCCCCUUGCCAAACGUCGGCGAGGCCUCCGCCUCGCCAGAUCUGGCGAGCUCGAGGCUCAUCGGCGUCAGGCGAGCUCAAGCUCGCCCCUCGCCGGAUCUGGCGAGGCUCGAGCCUCACCCGACGUCGGCGAGUUCGAGUCUCGCCAGAUCAGCGAGGCUCAAGCCUCACCGGGCGUCAACAAGGCUUGAGCCUCGCUGGGCGUCGGCAAGGCCUUCGCCUCGCCAGAUCCGGCGAGCUCGAGGCUCGCCUAGCCGAUCACCGGCCAUUGCUGUGCCGUCAACUGGAGGAAGAAGAAAGAAAAAAAAAAAAAAGGAAAGAAAAAAGAAAAAUAAAAAAAUAAUUAUAAUUUCGGUUUUUAUCAAAAAAAUUAUUUUUAUAAAGUUAAAGAGAUAAGAGAGAAAUUGUGAGGUUUUGGGUGAAAAUGGGUUUUAAAUCCAACCCAUUUAAGACCUACUUAAGACCUACCUAUCUUAAGUCUUUAGUUAUUAAACCCAUUUAACUAACUUCUUCACAAAAUAAGUGACCCGUAUAUGACCCAUUUAUGAUUUAAAUGGGUCAUAUAUAGGUUUAUGACCUAUUUUGCCACCUCUAGUUGUGGCUUCCACCGUUUGAGACCAAUACCAUCGAAAUUCCUCCUGAUAAAUCUCCUGCUGGCAGUAGUGGAGAGAGCGUUAAAAAGUUGCCAUCAUAAAAUUGACAAAACCACUUGGAAGAUUUUGUUUUUGGUCGAACACCUGACUGACCCAACGAAGAGUGGCCACAAAUGUCCCCCAUUUGACCGUCAAGAAGAAAUGGAAGCAAAAGGGUUGAACAAAAUCAUCAAAUCAUAUUCCGCCAAAAAGAGGGCAAUUAUGAAGGCCCAAUAGGCCCACAGGCGGAGCUCAAAGCUCGCGACCAUCAUGGCCAGAACUAGCGGGUGUUUUGAGCACGAGCUGACGAACGUCGCCAGAGGUCCCGGGGGCAAUGGGCAGCGACAGACGAGUUCAUAGGAGCAUUUUAUUCAAAAUGUUCAUGAGGUUGAAGAUAAUCUAAACAACAACUUCGAAAUUUCUUUUAUUCUUUUUUGUCUUUAAUUUUUUUUAUACCAUGCCACAUCGGAUCCACGUCAUAUUCAUAAUUUAACAGUGGUUUUUAACAAAAUUCUAAUGGAGGAUAAAUGUAUUGCUGAAGUACAAGUUUGAAACCACUGGGAUUCGCCCCAGUAGCCACCCUUCCAAUAUGGAAGGGAGAGGUGAGGGGUUCAAAUCCCCACCUUCUCAGGGGGGAUAGGGUGAGGACGAGUAAGUUUCAGAAAUGGAUUUCAACUCCCACGCCAUACACGAGUAAGUUUCAGGAAUGGGUUUCAACUCCCACGCCCUGCAAGAGGCAGGGCAAAAGUCUGAGAGUGAGUGUAGAGUAGGCAUAGAGUAGGACUGACCGAAAAAAAAAAGUACAAGUUUGAGAUUUUUUGUAUUGCAAAAAAAUAAUUUAGGGUAAAUAUUAUUAUAAUAGGCAUACUUUGGGAUUUUUUUUUCCCUUUUUCCUUUCAUUUUCUUCUUCUUACUAUAAUUAGUUCCUUUGGGUAAGGGCAUCACGAUGAAUGUUUAAAAGAUUAGGGGCACAAUGUAAGUUUGCCGAAUUCGCAAGAUGGAUUCUUUUUCUGUUGUGGUCGAAACACUUUUUGAUAGGCAUCCAAACAUAAAAGAUCCCGUAAAAGUUGGGGCUGACAAGCCACCCAAGAGGAAGAGAGAGUGUUCAAAUAAUGGGCUUUCACAGCUUAAUCAGCCACUUUGUUUGCGGGGCCGGUGAUAGUGGGCCAAGGAGAGAUAAUAAUAUUGGACCAAAGAGAGCUAGAACAUUUGUAGCAAAAUCAUCUAAUAGAGCACCCGUCUCGUAAUGAAGGAUCCUUGAAAUAGCUCCAGCUGUAUCACCUUCAAGAAAAAUCUCCCUCUACAUUGAUUUUUCAAUGUACGCAGCUUCAGUGGGUUUCCAAUUCUUUGCCUCUUUUCCGUGUAUAAAGUUUCAACCUUUGGUGAUUCCACUUAUUGAACUUGCUGAGCAUUGUACUCGCCAAUUCAAUUAGGAUUUUCGAAUUAGGGGGUUGGUCCUGGAAACGCAAAAUUAUUCCUCGCUUUCAAACAAACCUCUUAUGAGGGGUGCUGUUUCCUCAAAGAUAAGUAAAGUACCCAGCUAUUCGAUUCGGUCUUGGAGCCCCACAAUAUUUGCCCCCUUAGAAAACACCAUCAAUGGGAGAUAGUAUGAGAUUGAAAUUCGGAUGACAAUUUGGCCAAAAGUCAUAGUGUAGAAAUUGCAAUUUCAGAAAUAAAAGUCAUGGCUGUCUGAGAAAGUUGUCGAAGUCCUAGAUGAGAUGGGGCAAGCGGGCUUCCCUAAGAGUGAUGUUGCGCAGUCUGCUGUCAUCUCUGGAUUGCAUAAAUAGGAGAAAAUAGAAGAAGCUAGAAAAGUCUUUUCAAGUAUGCAAGAACGCAAGCUUUUGGAGGAAUCAGAUGUGAUUGUGUUCGACAACAUGCUGGUUGAACACAUGCAGAAUAAGACAAUAGGUGUAGUCUUAUAGGGAUUAAAGUUAUCUGGUCUAGAAAGAAAAUUGAAGGUUGAUACAUGUGUUUAUGUUCAUUCUACUACCACUAUAUUUAAAGGCUUCGUAGCUAUGCAAGAUGGGAUGGGCUCGCUAGCUUUGCGAUCACUAGGAUGGCCUCAAUGAAAUGCAAGGCAGUUUCAGAUUGCACAUUGUUCUACUGCCCUAUGCCAGUACCCCUUGUUGAGGGCUAUGUAGUACUGACACGAAUAAACGACACGACACGAUACGACACGCCGAUACGUUAUUUCUUAAAAAAUAGAGAAUUCUGACACAUUCUAACACAUUAUAUAUUAAAUAUAUAUUUAUAUAUAUGCAAAAAUAAAUAAAUAAUAAUAAAAUUCCAACAUUUGUUAAUAUAAUUUAUUGUUUUAAUUUGACAGAGAUUGAAUGAGAAAUUCAAAAAUUGCAAACACAAAAGAGUAAAUUUGAAGGAACAUGUCAUAUUUUCUUACAUUUGUCGGAAAUUAAUUAGAUUUCUUAUAGUCUCAGACCGAGCUCGGAGUUCAUGAUAUAGAUUGACUUGAGCUCCUCUACAAAACAAGGUUCAAGAAAAAUGAAAAUCCGAGACAAGAACUCUCAAAGUACAACCAAAAGAAAAGGAAAUAACUAAAUUCAUCAUGAAAAAUGUGACCAAAAGAGAUAACUCGCAAGCGACACCUGCAAGAGGUGGAAAGAAGCAAAAAAAAAAAUCACAACUUUUAACUCUACGGGGGCAGUGGAGCAACACCGGUGAGAAGAGGGGCGUUUCAUCGUCACUCACGGGAAGGUCAAAACUUAUAAAUGAGAAGCUUGAGAAUGAAAUUUUUUUUCUUUCCCCUUUAUUUUUGUUAUUUUCAUUAUUUUUUCAACAUACACGCAACCUAUAUGCAACUCUAAUGACAUGAAAUAUGGUUAACUAUGAAACGAUCCUAUUAUUUAAACUCGAUGAGAGAUUUUGUAUUUUCUUUUCUUAUAGAAAUGAAGAUUAAAUUCUAGGACACCUAAUGACUUUUACUAAAAAUGACCUAACAAUGCAAAGCUAAUUAUUUUUUGUAAUUUCUUUUUAUGAUUUAAAAUAGGGAACUGCCUAUAAUGGCUUUAACCGGUUAAGAAAUAAUCUAUACUAAUCAAUGGCUAUUCUUAAACAUGAAGAAUGAAUAUUUCUUUUGAUUUCUAAUGAGAAAAGAACAUGUGAUCUCCUAAUGCAAGAUAUAACAUGACUGAUGUUUUCACCGUAAGAAAGACACAUUUCUAAAAUAAAAGUCCAUUGAAUAAUAAAUAAACUCACCAUUUCCAAUCGCUCGUGCAUUGUAAAGAAACUCAUAUCAAUGAUCAGCGCAAUAGACAACCGCACUAGAGCAAGAGAAAGUCAAGAUAAAUUGCAACCGGACAGCAUGAAGCAAUCUGACAACACACAUUUUAUUUACUUUCACUUGUACUUUUUCCAUAUUAACAAAGAUAAUUGACCCAAAAUCACACUAUGCACAUUGCAACAUCCCUAAAGUGGGGCGCCUAAUGCAAACAUGGAUGUGGCCGGCCAUGCCAAGAGGAACAAAACAACACAUACCCACAAAGGUGGAUAAACACAAUGCAUCCUAUGAGCUUACAAUUUUUGCUGGGUCAUAGGGGCUUUAAUAAGACAUGAUAAGACACGAAUUCAGAGGGUUUCCAAAGGAAAGGACAAAUUAAUUUUCCCUCUCAAUUUGCCUUCUUCUUUUCUUGGUCCUCCACUUUCUUGCAAGAAUCGUUUUCACGGUCGCUGACUUCUUUGGGGGCUCUCCAGAGCUCUCUUCUCUUGCUCCUCUUCUUCAACCCCGUUCGACUCGCAUUUCUCUCUCAAUCCUCCGUACUCCUCCUUCCCCUCUGCUCUCGCCUUAAUCACCUCCAGCAAUUCGCUCUCUGCUCUCUCUCGGUUCCUCCGUUUCUUGAUCAGGACUUCGCUUAUGUCCGCCGGCGUCAUCUUUGCCUUCUCGACCGCCUCUCGGAGCUCGCUCGCUGCCGCCUCGCUGAGGUCCUCGCCCUCACUACCCAGGUAAUUGUGGAGCAGGAUCUUGAGCGCCGGGUAGGAGCAGUAGCUCAUGCAGAUGUGCAUGUCCAUCCGGCCGCUCCGGAGCAAUGCCGGGUCGAGCUUGUCGAUGUGGUUCGUGGUGAACACGAAGAUCCGCUCGCUCCCGCAGCACGACCAUAGGCCGUCGGUGAAGUUGAGAAGUCCCGAUAGGGUCAUAGUGUUAUUCCAAUUCUUGCCACCAGACACAGCAUCGGGGGCUUCAGGGUCAGCAGAGUAGCUCUGAAGAGCAGGGGCUUUGGGCGCCUUCGACCUGUUCGACAGAUUGACUGAGCAAUCGAUGUCCUCGAUGACAAUGAUGGACUUUGAGCUAGUCUUCAUGAGGAGCUUCCGGAGCUCGGAGUUGGAGGGCACCUCGGUCAGCUCGAGGUCGUAGAUGUCAUAGCCGAGGAAAUUGGCCAUGGCUGCAAUCAUGCUCGAUUUCCCCGUCCCAGGAGGGCCGUAGAGCAGGUAGCCCCGCUUCCAGGCCCGGCCCGUCCUCUGGUAGAAGGCGUGCCCACUCGCGAAGUCGCGGAGGUCCUCCAUGAUGUCCCUCUUCUUCUCCGGGUCCAUGGCCAACGUGUCGAAGGUGCUCGGGUGUUUGAACGGCACCGCUUCCCAAGGGCGGCCAUGGGAUUCGCUGCUGCGGGAAUUAGUAUAAAUGAGGCGUUCUUGGUUGUUGCGGCGGAUGUCGCUGGCCUUGCCCAUGAUGUGGUCCAGGUAGGGGUUGAGGAUGAGGUCCUUGUCGCGCUUUCUAAUCCGGAGCUUGAAGCUGCGCUUCUCGUCGGGGAGGGCCCGCCACGGGGAUGGCUGGGACUGGCGCUGCGUCACCGCGUGCUCCCACUGGACGGCGACGCCAUCGAAGACGUCGGCGAUGGAGUCAUUGCUGGAGAGGCCGAAGGUGGUGACGCUGGAGUUGCGGGCGCGGGUGAGGGAGAGGCGGCUGGCGGAGGCGGAGGUGGAGGCGAAGGAGCUGAGGUAGAGGUGGACGGCGUUGUAGAGCUCGUUGGUCUUGACGCCCUCCAUCUCGGCGAUGUCGAAGUAGCAGUAGGAGGAGAAGCAGCGGAAGGCCCGGGUGAGGAACUUCAGGGAAACGUGCCGGAGCUCCGGCGGGAGCACCAUCCGGAGGAAGGUCUGGCAGAAGGCCAGGGUGCCAGGAGGGAGGCCAGGGAUGUCCAAGACUCCUUCCUUUCUGCCAUCUCUGUUUGAUCCUUGUCAAAGUUGAGACUUUCACCGGAGAAGAGGAACGGAGGGUGAUGGAUGAGAAAGAAUUGGGGAGUGACGAUGGAGUAUCUAUGUCGCAACCACGCUAUACUGCAGACUGCGAAGACCAAAGAUUGUUUUUCUUGUUACUCCUUCGGUCUUAAACUUUAGUUUGUUUAUGUUUUUCGGCAUUUUAUAAUUGGACUCCCGUUUAAUUCCGAACGCCUCGACAUCGGAGUACAUAAAAUAUCGACAAAUACAGUAAUACUACCCAUUAGAACCCAAUUAUUAUUAUUAUUAUUUUGGCUUUCUCGUGAAAGUCUAAAAUGUUAUUCAAAUUUCCGUAUGUUACAAAAAAAGAAAUAGUACAUGAUGUUCAGUUUUAAAGAAGAAAAUCAACAAGGUGUGCUCACUGUUUCGUGGAUUUAACAGGUAGGAAACUUCAAACCGAGCCGCCUUAGGCUUGAGGAGAAAAGCACGUGCAGUCAAUGGAAGAGAUCAGACAAAACGAGACUAAUAUAUAAAAGAUGGGAUAGACUGUAAGCAUAAAAACUCGUUCACCACCCACCUCCAACUACCCUCCGCCUGCUUUUGUCUUGUUUCUCUGGGAUAAGUGAAUGUACAGAUAGGCGAAUAUAAUUUAUUCAAUGAAUAUAUAAUUAUCUCGAUAUGGUGCCGUCAUUUAAUAUGACAUUGUAUUUUCUAAUCACGUCUUUCAUGCGAUUUAAAAAUAUGCCAACAACGUUUAAACAUGCAAGAGAAAAUUAAUAAUUAACUGAGAACCAACGUUCGAAAUCGGUCUCCCACACCAUAGUGAUGGUUCUAUUAUUGAAGAUUAUGGUACUUUUCUUUUAUUAUAAAAUAAAAGAACUGGGAGAGGGCUGAAAACUCUUAUACAUGUGGUUGGAAUGAGUCAAUUCCAUUUAAGAAUCAUCGUAAUAUCACAAAAGCGCUAGAGGCGCAUUACAAUAGUGAGCAGGUUUGAUCGCCUAAACUUUGGGACUACUGACAUUAAAGAUGAAAAUUUAAUGAAAUUAGGUAUGUAUAUAUAUUAUAUAUACAUAUAUAAAAUAGCACCACGUCGCUAAAAUUGUGUAAUUCAAUAGACCUCCUACACCUAAUAUCAUUAAAUUUUCAUUCAAUAGACCUCCUACGCCUAAUUUCAAUAUAUAUAAACAUAUAUAAUACAUAAUAGGGGGAGAGAGAUCCUCAAUUUGCAAUACGGAGAUUCUGUUAUCAUUAAACAAAGUUCAGUAACAACAUCGUCGCCUUACCUGCAUAAUGCAUGCUGACAAGCCCGCCCAACACCUUUCUCCACUCACCCACUUCUCUCUUUAUAAAACAAGUCUCAAUAGAAAUUUGAUUUAAAACUGUCUAAUUGAAAGUACGUCUUUUUGCGAAAGUGAAAUCAUUCUUACAAAAUAAAACCAAAAAAAAAAAGAUAUGAAACCAGUUUGUAAAUAAUGUAUUUCUUUUAAUAUGCAUGUAUUAUAGAACGGAUGAAGUAUAGCAACUUAGGGGCAUCCCCAGCAUUGCAAAUAGAAUUAAUAAUUCAAAAAAAUGGAGAUAAAAAGUCUCCAUAUAUUAGCCAAUACAAUAUUUGUCUAGGAAUGUUUAAUUUUUUGAUAAAGUGAAGUUAUACUUUUUUAUAUUUUUACACACCUUGGCCAAAAUAAUAUGGAUGUUCAUUGACUUAUUUGGAAACCGUCUAGGGUAACGCUCCAUCCAAAUACAAUAUAUGGUUGCUAGAAAAAAUGCCUUGAAAAGUCUUACCACCAAAUUUUUGCUUUUAUUGCACUAAUCAUUUAUUGAAAUUUCUCAUUCCAUGCUGCUAAGAUAUACAGCAGAUUCUACCUGUCAAGUCACAUUGGAAAAAUAGAUUAGCUCUAUCUUCUAUACUAGCGGACUUAAUUUGAAUAUAAGUGUAUUAUUUGAUAAGUUGAAAAAUCAUCACAACCCCAUCAUCCAUGUGCUAGACUUAAUAAAAGUAAUUAAAAGAAGACGUAAAGAUUCCAAGGUUUGUAGGCCCCUGAAAGUAUCUGGGUAUCUUCUUUAUCAACACAAAAUGUGGUAUAGAUGCCUAGAAGUAAUGAUGUUCAUGCAGCUGUUAGUCCAUCCGCAUCUAGGAUUCAAGUUGAUGUAGGAAACGUUGGACCUGGUGCAUGCCAAGCAUGAGGGAUCUAUUAGGACGAGACUCAAGUCUCUACAAAUGCUUAUGCACCACCAUGAAGACAAAAGCAUUGAAAUACAUAUGUUAUUGAGAGAGAGUCUAUUUUAGGACAUGAAAGAUGGAUUUUAGUCCAAGAACCUUUCCUUGUUUGCUGUCGAUGGAUCUAGCACUGAAUGAAGACAAGCAACUUUGGGAAAGACUUGGUGCACUUGCGCUGAUUUAGCAUCUCAUAUGCUAACACAUAAGUAGUUAAUACAUAAACAGUUAUGCUAACGUCAUAGUAUAGUUAACAGAAAAAACAAGCAAACCCUAUCUCUCUUCCACACAUGUUCAGCUAAUAUCAGAUCAAGACUUUCCAGAUAGUCGUAAAACAAAGUCAAUGCACACAAAUUCACCCAUUAGUUCACAUCAUUCUUUCCAAGAAAGACCUUGAUGAGCUAAGCAACUCAAAAGCGAAGCUUUAUUAUUGUCUCACACAUCAAGUGCUCCGCAAAAUGUUAACUAAAGACCAAACAAUGAUGUGAUGUAUGCAUGACCAAGGCUAAUGCAAUUAAUUCCUUUUGGGUUUUCUUUGAAAAUAAGCAUGAAUAAAUAUAAAUUCAAUGUCUAUAUGAGUUCUAAAUUAAGUAAUAACAUGAAAUCUAAAUAACAUGUAUGUUGUGUUGAUUAGGGAAAACUACCGAAAAAGUUCUAAAUCUAUUACAGUUUUCUUAAAUCAGUCCCAAACCUUUUUUUUUGUUAAUUUAGUCCUAAACCUUUUUCAAUUGAGCCAAUUUUGGCUGGUCAACGCUGAUGUGGCAAUUUAUUAAUAAUAUUUUUAUUUUUUCGAAUUUUUUAAUUAUUUUUUAUUUUAUUUUUCCUUUUCUUCUUCUCUCCCCACAGUGGCAGGUGAGGGCCAUGAAGCCCCUGCCGGCAACCAACGACCCUGGCCUAGAUUUGGGCAAGAUCUAGGGGCCGUGCAAGCUGUAGGGGACACCAACCUCAUAGCGGGCACUGUGGGCAAAGCGAGCCUUGCUUAGAUCAAGGCGAAGCCACCUUCGCCUGCAAUCCCUAGGCCUUGCCCAAAUUUGGGUGAGGCUGAGCGAGGGUUGCUAGUCGCUAGCCCAAAGCCCUCACUAGCCAUUACCGGGGAAGAGAAGACAAAAAAAGUAGGAAGAAAAUGAAAAUAGAAAAUAAAUACAUAAAAACGAAAAAAAAUUAAAAAUUGCAACGUUAAUGUCGACUGAAUAGCUAGCAUCCACAUCAAUGUUGCCCAACCAAAAUUAAUGGGAUGGACUAAAUUAGCACAAUUGUAAAAAAUUUAGAACUAAAUUAACAAAAAAAAAAUUAGGACUGAUUUGACAAAAUUAUAAUAGAUUUAGGACUUAUUUGGUAAUUUUCUCAUAUUGAUCAACAUACACGCAAUCUAUACGCAACUCUAAUGACAUGGAAUAUGGUUAAUUAUGAAACGAUCCUAUUAUUUAAACGCAUUGAGAGAUUUUGUAUUUUCUUUUCUUAUAGAAAUGAAGAUUAAAUUUUAGGACACCUAAUGAAUUUUAUUAAAAAUGAACCAGCAAUGCAAUGCUAAUUAUUUUUUGUAUUUUCUUUUUAUGAUUUAAAAUAGGGAACUGCCUAUAAUGGCUUUAAUUAAUUAAAAAAUAAUCUAUACUAAUCAAUGACUAUGCUUAAACAUGAAGAAUGAAUAUUUAUUUUGAUUUCUAAUGAGAAAAGAAUAUGCGAUCUCAUGAAGGUAUGACAUGACUGAUGUUUUCACCGCAAGCAAGACACGUUUCUAAAAUAAAAGUCCAUUAAAUAAUAAAUAAACUCACCCUACCCAAUCGCUCAUGCAUUGUAAAGAAACUCAUAUCAACAAUCAAUGCAAUGGACGACCGCACUAGAGCAACAGAAAGUCAAGAUAAAUGGCAACCGGAUAACGUGAAGCAAUUUGACAAUACACAUUUUAUUUACUUUCACUUGUACUUUUUCCAUAUUAACAAAGAUAAUCGACCCAAAAUCACACUAUGCACAUUGCAACAUCCCUAAAGUGGGGCGCCUAAUGCAAACAUGGAUGUGGCCUGCCAUCCCCAGAAGAACAAAACAACACAUACCCACAAAAGUAAAUAAACACAAUACAUCGUAUGAGCCUACAAAUUUUUGCUGAGUCAUAGGGGUUUUUAUAAGACAUGAUAAGACACGAAUUAAGAGGGUUUCCAAAGGAAAGGACAAAUUAAUUUUCCCUCUCAAUUUGCCUUCUUCUCUACUUGGUCCUCCACUUUCUGGCAAGAAUCGUUUUCACGGUCGCUGACUUCUUUGGGGCUCUCCAGAGCCCUCUUCUCUUGCUCCUCUUCUUCAUCCCCGUUCGACUCGAAUUUCUCUCUCAGUCCUCCGUACUCCUCGUUCCCCUCUGCUCUCGCCUUCAUCACCUCCAGCAAUUCGCUCACUACUUUCUCUCGGUUCCUCCGUUUCUUGAUCAGGACUUCGCUUAUGUCCGCCGGCGUCAUCUUGGCCUUCUCGACCGCCUCUCGGAGCUCGCUCGCCGCCGCCUCGCUGAGGUCCUCGCCCUCGCUACCCAGGUAAUUGUGGAGCAGGAUCUCGAGCGCCGGGUAGGAGCAGUAGCUCAUGCAGAUGUGCAUGUCCAUCCGGCCGCUCCGGAGCAAUGCCGGGUCGAGCUUGUCGAUGUGGUUGGUGGUGAACACAAAGAUCCGCUCGCUCCCACAGCACGACCACAGGCCGUCGGUGAAGUUGAGCAGUCCCGAUAGGGUCAUCGUGUUGUUGUUCCAGUCCUUACCACCAGACGCAGCAUUGGAGGCGUCAGGAGCAGAGUAGCUCUGAGGAGGGGGGGCUUUGGGCGCCUUCGACCUGUUCGACAGAUUGACUGAGCAGUCGAUGUCCUCGAUGACAAUGAUGGAUUUUGAGCUGGUCUUCAUGAGGAGCUUCCGGAGCUCGGUGUUGGAGGGCACCUCGGUCAGCUCGAGGUCGUAGAUGUCAUAGCCGAGGAAAUUGGCCAUGGCUGCAAUCAUGCUCGAUUUCCCCGUCCCAGGAGGGCCGUAGAGUAGGUAGCCCCGCUUCCAGGCCCGGCCCGUCCUCUGGUAGAAGGCCUGCCCAGCCGCAAAGUCGCGGAGGUCCUCCAUGAUGUCCCUCUUCUUCUCCGGGUCCAUGGCCAACGUGUCGAAGGUGCUCGGGUGUUUGAACGGCACCGCCUCCCAAGGGCGGCCCCGGGACUCGCUGCCUCGCGAAUUAGUAUAAAUGAGGCGUUCUUGGUUGUUGCGGCGGAUGUCGUUGGCCUUGUCCAUGAUGUGGUCCAGGUAGGAGUUGAGGAUGAGGUCCUUGUCGCGCUUCUUGAUCCGGAGCGUGAAGCCUCGCUUCUCGUCGGGGACGGACCGCCACGAGGACGGCUGGGACUGGCGCUGCGUCACCGCGUGCUCCCACUGGACGGCGACGCCGUUGAAGACGUCGGCGAUGGAGUCGUUGCUGGAGAGGCCGAAGGUGGUGACGCUGGAGUUGCGGGCGCGGGUGAGGGAGAGGCGGCUGGCGGAGGCGGAGGUGGAGGCGAAGGAACUGAGGUAGAGGUGGACGGCGUUGUAGAGCUCGUUGGUGUUGACGCCGUCCAUCUCGGCUACGUCGAAGUAGCAGUAGGAGGAGAAGCAGCGGAGGGCCCGAGUGAGGAACUUGAGGGAAGCGUGCCGGAGCUCCGGCGGGAGCACCACCUGGAGGAAGGUCUGGAGGAAGGUCUGGCAGAAGGCCAGGGUGCCCAGGAGGGAGGCCAGAGAUGUCCAAGACUCCUUCCUUUCUGCCAUCUCCGUU